GAAAAUCUCACAAGUUCUGCAAUGGAUGGUAUUGGAAUGUGAAGAGAAAGCUUCACAGAAGAAGUGCCAGCAAGCAUUAGGCUAGAGAGUCUUUAAUAAGCCAAUAUUUUGAAAUGGCUUAAUACCACAGAUAUUGGAUGACCAUAUUACAUCCAUGUAUUGGACUGUCUCGAACAGAGCUUGGACACAGAUCAUAGAGUCAAGGGACCACAGUGAAGAGUGUGUAGUUUUCUGUGCCUGAGGGAAGCUCUGGGCAUCCAUUCCUGCAUCCUGGACAGUCACUGGAUUAAAGCUAGAAAAUGAACCAUA